UGCAAGUCGAACGAACCUUCGGGUUAGUGGCGGACGGGUGAGUAACGCGUGAGAAUCUGCCCUCAGGAGGGGGAUAACAGCUGGAAACGGCUGCUAAUACCCCAUAUGCCGCGAGGUGAAAUGAAUUUCGCCUGAGGAUGAGCUCGCGUCUGAUUAGCUAGUUGGUGUAGGUAAUGGCUCACCAAGGCAUCGAUCAGUAGCUGGUCUGAGAGGAUGAUCAGCCACACUGGGACUGAGACACGGCCCAGACUCCUACGGGAGGCAGCAGUGGGGAAUUUUCCGCAAUGGGCGAAAGCCUGACGGAGCAACGCCGCGUGAGGGAUGAAGGCCUCUGGGCUGUAAACCUCUUUUAUCAAGGAAGAAGAUCUGACGGUACUUGAUGAAUAAGCCACGG
rnacentral:rRNA from 1 species